AAAAAAAAAAACUCUAGAUUUUCGUGUCUAACGUUUGAUCGUCCGUCUUAUUUAAAAAAAAUUAAAAAGACAAGUCAUAAAGUAUUAAUCAUGUUUUAUCAUCUAAUAACAAUGAAAAUACUAAUUAUAAAAAAAUUCAUAUAAGACGGACAGUUAAACGUUGGACACGGAAACCCAGGGUUUGUCUUUUU
rfam:Oryza nivara chromosome 10, whole genome shotgun sequence.